GUUUGUUGCAGACAUCCCAUAGCUAGGUGCAACAGUUACUGCAGAUGGAAAGAAAAAAGCCAGUCCAUUAGUCAUGCUCCUCAAGGUGCUGGGACAGGGCAUACAAAUGUACCUUUUACAAGGUUCCGCCUUCUACAAUUUGCUGCUGAGUACUGAUAUCAUCUUCUGACUUCCAUAAGUGGAGCGAAUCGUACAUCUGAGGAAGGUCGACGUGCUUGACUGAAAAUUUAUGAACAGCAGUCGCGGAAGAGGGACAUUGCUAACAAGGGAGCAGUUUCACAGGGACUGCCUUACACAAGACAAAAGGAGAGCGAAGCAUGGUAUGUGCAGAAGUAAGCAUGGAGCUUACUCUCUCUCCAGGCAUACCGGCUGUUUCCCUAUGACGGCAUUGGUCUCGCCUUACAUGGGGGACAUUGCUAACAAGGGAGCAGUUUCACAGGGACUGCCUUGCACAAGACAAAAGGAGAGCGAAGCAUGGUAUGUGCAGAAGUAAGCAUGGAGCUUACUCUCUCUCCAGGCAUACCGGCUGUUUCCCUAUGACGGCAUUGGUCUCGCCUUACAUGGGGGACAUUGCUAACAAGGGAGCAGUCUCACAGGGACUGCCUGAUAUCGAAGUGUCACAGGAAACAAAUGAGUGAAGUAUGGCAUUUGUCUUGAGACAACAUUGUCUCCAUCAGUUUGGAUUUGGGUGAUGUUUAACUAGUUAAAUGAAUGCAACAUGCUGACCUUUUUAUGCAUAUUAUGGGUUCAAAUCAUUUCGCGAAAAGUAUGCGAUCGUGGAACUCUGGUUUAAACAUGAAACUUUAUAGUUUUCCAUCUGUUGGAAGGGAAAUGGUUUUGUUAGUCCAUAUAAUAUCAGAGGUUUGGUAUUUUACUUAUUUGUGGCUACCCAUGGCAUAUCUUGAAGCUUUGUUAUUGUCAAUUUUAAUAGUGAAAAAACAACCAUACCAUCAGUAUAUUGUGCAAACUUUUGCAUGUGUAAUUUGUAGGAUUUGAUUAUUGUAUUUCUUUAUUGCUACUGUAUUUCCUUUGAUAAUGUUGCGCAAGACGUUUUAGGUAUUGCGUUUUCCACUGUAUAUCAUCUUUUGUCAUCUAUAUACAUCAUGUGCAAUUUUUGAUAAUUUUAUCCAUAGCUCUAUCUUAUCAUAUUAUGAAGUUUGUCAACUAUAAUAUCAUUUUUCAUCUGUAUACAUCAUGUACAAUUCUUUUCAUGAAUUUGUCCAUACAUUAGUUCUGUCACGUUAUAUGAUUUUGAAAUGAUAUAUUGAUGUGAUCUUUUCUUUCCCUUAUAACUAACGACUUAACUAGUUCCUCAAAUGAUGUGUUUUUUUCAUUUCUGUACUUCUUUUGCUGUAAGCAGUUCAGUUCAUUUCUAACUCCCGCUCUGUGCCAGCAAAAUACUAAUAUCCAGUGUUUGACCUGAAAUUCCCUUUUUGCAUUAACACAUUGUGUGUUUGAGUUUGUACAUAGGACUGUUGAUUGAUGGAACAAGUCGAAAGCUGGUGCGGGGAGAGGACAAAAGGGAGAAAAGGCCUUAGGGCUGGAUCUUUAUUCGAGGCCAUUCCAGUCACGAUCAUACCACAAAAGAAUUUCUCUAGUUGAUUGUUUAAUUUCAGUAAGAAAUAUCAGAGGAGAUAGAUGACUGCAGUUUUGCAUCGGACUCUGGAAUGCAUGUACGUUUCCUAUAUUUUGGCCUUUGCCAUUGAAUUUUUUGGAGGGUUACAUAGCCGGCAAUUUGGUCAGUUUGAUUUGUUCUUU